AUUGAACGCUGGCGGCAUGCUUUACACAUGCAAGUCGAACGGCAGCGCGGGCUUCGGCCUGGCGGCGAGUGGCGAACGGGUGAGUAAUACAUCGGAACGUGCCCAGUAGUGGGGGAUAGCUCGGCGAAAGCCGGAUUAAUACCGCAUACGACCUGAGGGUGAAAGCGGGGGAUCUUCGGACCUCGCGCUAUUGGAGCGGCCGAUGGCAGAUUAGCUAGUUGGUGGGGUAAAGGCCUACCAAGGCGACGAUCUGUAGCUGGUCUGAGAGGACGACCAGCCACACUGGGACUGAGACACGGCCCAGACUCCUGCGGGAGGCAGCAGUGGGGAAUUUUGGACAAUGGGCGAAAGCCUUAUCCAGCAAUGCCGCGUGUGUGAUGAAGGCCUUCGGGUUGUAAAGCACUUUUGGCGGGAACGAAAAGGACUGUGCCAAUACCACGGUUCGAUGACGGUACCCGCAGAAUAAGCACCGGCUAACUACGUG
rnacentral:rRNA from 1 species